rnacentral:rRNA from 1 species
UCCGUNCCAGCAGCCGCGGUAAUACGGAGGGUGCAAGCCGUAAAUCGGAAUUACUGGGCGUAAAGNGCANGCAGGCCGUUNUGUNCAAGUCGGAUGUGAAUCCCCGGGCUUAACCUUGGAACUGCAUUCGAAACUGGCAGGCUAGAGUCUGUAGAGGGGGGUAGAUUCCAGUGUAGCGUGAAAUGCGUAGAGAUCUGANGAAUACCGGUGGCGAAGCGNCCCCUGGACAAAAGACUGANNUCAGUGCGAAAGCGUGGGGAAGCAACAAGAAUAGAUACCUUGGUAGUUCANCNCGNUAAACGAUGUCGACUUGAAGGUGGUUCCCUGAGGAGUGCCUCCGGAAGNUACGGCGUUAGUUNGCCNCCUUGGGNAGUACGGCGGCAAGGUNAAAAUUCAAUGGAUUGGACGGGGGCCGCCCCAAGCGUUGGAGCAGGUGGUUUAUUUGGAUGCACCGNGAGGACCNUUCCUUCUUCUUGCCUUCCGGAGACCUUUCCAGAGAUGGAUGGGUCCUUUGGGGAAUUNUAAGCCAGUUNCUCCAGGGCGGUGUUCAGUUCGGGUUGGGAAAUGUUGGGUUAAUUCCGCCAAGGAGGCCAACCUUUUUCUUUUGUUCCCACCGGUUAGGCCGGGAACUCAAAGGAGACUGCCAGUGAUAAACUGGAGGAAGGUGGGGAUGACGUCAAGUCAUCAUGGCCCUUACGAGUAGGGCUACACACGUGCUACAAUGGCGCAUACAAAGAGAAGCGACCUCGCGAGAGCAAGCGGACCUCAUAAAGUGCGUCGUAGUCCGGAUUGGAGUCUGCAACUCGACUCCAUGAAGUCGGAAUCGCUAGUAAUCGUAGAUCAGAAUGCUACGGUGAAUACGUUCCCGGGCCUUGUACACACCGCCCGUCACACCAUGGGAGUGGGUUGCAAAAGAAGUAGGUAGCUUAACCUUCGGGAGGGCGCUUACCACUUUGUGAUUCAUGACUGGGGUGAAGUCGUAAC